UGGGGGUCGAACGGCAGGGCUCCGUCGCGUUCCGGUGCGAGAUAUUGCUCUACGCAGAGGAAGCUCCAGUGUACCCGGGACUGGAUUUCGGAGCCGGCCAGCCACGGGGGCGUCCGAUCUACAACACCAAGCCCGGGGGCUUGAGGGUUGAAAUGACGCUCGAACAGGCAUGCCCGAACCAAUACUGCCGGGCGCAAUGUGCGUUCAAAGAUUCGAUGAUUCACUGAAUUCUGCAAUUCACAUUACUUAUCGCAUUUCGUUGCGUUCUUCAUCGAUGCCAGAACCAAGGAGAUCCGUUGUUGAAAGUUUUAAUUUAUUUGCUUGUGUCACUCAGAAGAUUCAUAUAGAAAACAAGAGUUUAGGGUCCUGCGGCGGGCGCCUGGGUCCGGGCCCGGAGGCGCCGGGGCGAUCCCGCCGAGGCAACAAAAGGUAUGUUCACAGGGGUUUGGGAGUUGAUAACUCGGUAAUGAUCCCUCCGCUGGUUCACCAACGGAGACCUUGUUACGACUUACCCCUUCA
rnacentral:misc_RNA from 1 species